UAAAGGCCUACCAAGACAAUGAUGCAUAGCCGAGUUGAGAGACUGAUCGGCCACAUUGGGACUGAGACACGGCCCAAAUUCCUACGGGAGGCUGCAGUAGGGAAUCUUCCACAAUGGGCGAAAGCCUGAUGGAGCAACGCCGCGUGUGUGAUGAAGGCUUUCGGGUCGUAAAGCACUGUUGUAUGGGAAGAAAAGUUAAGGUAGGGAAUGACCUUAGCCUGACGGUACCAUACCAGAAAGGGACGGCUAAAUACGUGCCAGCAGCCGCGGUAAUACGUAUGUCCCGAGCGUUAUCCGGAUUUAUUGGGCGUAAAGCGAGCGCAGACGGUUGGUUAAGUCUGAUGUGAAAGCCCGGAGCUCAACUCCGGAAAGGCAUUGGAAACUGGUUAACUUGAGUGCAGUAGAGGUAAGUGGAACUCCAUGUGUAGCGGUGGAAUGCGUAGAUAUAUGGAAGAACACCAGCGGCGAAGGCGGCUUACUGGACUGUAACUGACGUUGAGGCUCGAAAGUGUGGGUAGCAAACAGGAUUAGAUACCCUGGUAGUCCACACCGUAAACGAUGAACACUAGGUGUUAGGAGGUUUCCGCCUCUUAGUGCCGAAGCUAACGCAUUAAGUGUUCCGCCUGGGGAGUACGACCGCAAGGUUGAAACUCAAAGGAAUUGACGGGGACCCGCACAAGCGGUGGAGCAUGUGGUUUAAUUCGAAGCAACGCGAAGAACCUUACCAGGUCUUGACAUCCUUUGAAGCUUUUAGAAAUAGAAGUGUUCUCUUCGGAGACAAAGUGACAGGUGGUGCAUGGUCGUCGUCAGCUCGUGUCGUGAGAUGUUGGGUUAAGUCCCGCAACGAGCGCAACCCUUAUUGUUAGUUGCCAGCAUUCAGAUGGGCACUCUAGCGAGACUGCCGGUGACAAACCGGAGGAAGGCGGGGACGACGUCAGAUCAUCAUGCCCCUUAUGACCUGGGCUACACACGUGCUACAAUGGCGUAUACAACGAGUUGCCAACCUGCGAAGGUGAGCUAAUCUCUUAAAGUACGUCUCAGUUCGGACUGCAGUCUGCAACUCGACUGCACGAAGUCGGAAUCGCUAGUAAUCGCGGAUCAGCACGCCGCGGUGAAUACGUUCCCGGGUCUUGUACACACCGCCCGUCACACCAUGGAAGUUUGUAAUGCCCAAAGCCGGUGGCCUAACCGUAAGGAGGGAACCGU
rnacentral:rRNA from 1 species